rnacentral:rRNA from 1 species
CCCUUAGAUGUCCGGGGCCGCACGCGCGCUACACUGAAGGAAUCAGCGUGGCUUUCUCCCUGACCCGAAAGGGUUGGGAAACCCGUUGAAUCUCCUUCGUGAUAGGGAUUGGGGCUUGAAAUUGUUCCCCAUGAACGAGGAAUUCCCAGUAAGCGCGAGUCAUAAGCUCGCGUUGAUUACGUCCCUGCCCUUUGUACACACCGCCCGUCGCUACUACCGAUUGAGUGAUCCGGUGAAUAAUUCGGACUGCAGCAGUGCUUGGUCCUCCGGGCUUUGCAGUGGAAAGUUUAGUGAACCUUAUCACUUAGAGGAAGGAGAAGUCGUAACA